rnacentral:rRNA from 1 species
AGGUUACUGCUAUCGAGGUUCGACUAAGCCAUGCGAGUCGAAUGUAGCAAUACAUGGCGUACUGCUCAGUAACACGUGGACAACCUACCCUCCGGACGGGUAUAAACCCGGGAAACUGGGUAUAAUCCCCGAUAGAUCUCGGUCGCUGGAAUGCCCCGAGAUCGAAAGCUCCGGCGCCAGAGGAUGGGUCUGCGGCCUAUCAGGUAGUAGUGGGUGUAGCGUACCUACUAGCCUACGACGGGUACGGGUUGUGAGAGCAAGAGCCCGGAGAUGGAUUCUGAGACACGAAUCCAGGCCCUACGGGGUGCAGCAGGCGCGAAAACUUUACAAUGCCGGCAACGGCGAUAAGGGGACCUCGAGUGCCAGGUUACAAAUCUGGCUGUCGUGAUGCCUAAAAAGCAUUGCAUAGCAAGGGCCGGGCAAGACCGGUGCCAGCCGCCGCGGUAACACCGGCGGCUCGAGUGGUAACCGUUAUUAUUGGGUCUAAAGGGUCUGUAGCCGGCCGGAUAAGUCUCUUGAGAAAUCCAGCAGCUCAACUGUUGGGCUUUCAGGAGAUACUGUUCGGCUCGAGGCCGGGAGAGGUGAGAGGUACCUCAGGGGUAGGGGUGAAAUCUUGUAA